ACACAUGCAAGUCGAACGAAGCACUUUAUUUGAUUUCCUUCGGGAUUGAUUAUUUUGUGACUGAGUGGCGGACGGGUGAGUAACGCGUGGGUAACCUGCCUUGUACAGGGGGAUAACAGUUGGAAACGGCUGCUAAUACCGCAUAAGCGCACAGCAUCGCAUGAUGCAGUGUGAAAAACUCCGGUGGUAUAAGAUGGACCCGCGUUGGAUUAGCUAGUUGGUGAGGUAACGGCCCACCAAGGCGACGAUCCAUAGCCGACCUGAGAGGGUGACCGGCCACAUUGGGACUGAGACACGGCCCAAACUCCUACGGGAGGCAGCAGUGGGGAAUAUUGCACAAUGGGCGAAAGCCUGAUGCAGCGACGCCGCGUGAGCGAAGAAGUAUUUCGGUAUGUAAAGCUCUAUCAGCAGGGAAGAUAAUGACGGUACCUGACUAAGAAGCACCGGCUAAAUACGUGCCAGCAGCCGCGGUAAUACGUAUGGUGCAAGCGUUAUCCGGAUUUACUGGGUGUAAAGGGAGCGCAGGCGGUGCGGCAAGUCUGAUGUGAAAGCCCGGGGCUCAACCCCGGUACUGCAUUGGAAACUGUCGUACUAGAGUGUCGGAGGGGUAAGCGGAAUUCCUAGUGUAGCGGUGAAAUGCGUAGAUAUUAGGAGGAACACCAGUGGCGAAGGCGGCUUACUGGACGAUAACUGACGCUGAGGCUCGAAAGCGUGGGGAGCAAACAGG
rnacentral:rRNA from 1 species